GACAGAGGGUGCAAACGUUGUUCGGAAUUACUGGGCGUAAAGCGCGUGUAGGCGGCUAUGUAAGUCGGGCGUGAAAUCCCACGGCUCAACCGUGGAAGUGCACCCGAAACUGCGUAGCUAGAGUCCUGGAGAGGAAGGUGGAAUGCUUGGUGUAGAGGUGAAAUUCGUAGAUAUCGAGAGGAACACCGGUGGCGAAGGCGGCCAACUGGACGAAUACUGACGCUGAGACACGAAAGCGUGGGGAGCAAACAGG
rnacentral:rRNA from 1 species